ACUAAACAGCUUCUUUUGUUGCCGUUUUUGCCCCUCCCCCUUCGUUGAGAGGGUUUCGUCCGCUGACAGAACCCUCUAUUUUCAGUUCGUUUCCAACCAGCUGGUUGGGGGGCAGCCAUGGAAGAUCUGUAUUCGUUGCUGGACAUGCGUGGGGGGCCAUCGAUUUUUUUCUUGGGAGGUGAGCUGCAAAUCCAGCCGCACUUUUAGUCUUCGUCUCACAGAUUUGGGGUCGGGAGAUUUCAUCCUUUCUACAUCCUUCGACUCAGACUUCCAUCUUUCUUGCUUGCGAAUAUUUGCAUCCUUUGUCUUCAGGUGGUCUUUUGUUGCUUUGGAUAGAGCGGUUUGGUUGGUGUUUUCAGUUCUGUUAAGCAAGGGGUUCUUGAGUAAUCCCUAUUGCUAUAUAAGAGGAGCUGAGGUAUUUAAAUUUCACAACAUAUUGGAUUCUAUCAGGAAGGGGAUUGAAUCUCACAGAUUAGCUCAGGUAUUUCCAUCAUUGUUAUUAUUAAUUUUUUUAAUCAAUUGUCAAUUCAAUGACUUUGCUCUUUUCGAGAAAUCUUAGAAAUGGAAAUCAUUCUCAAUUUCUGUUUUGGUUGCUGAUAAAACACUGGAAAGCAAAAAC